rnacentral:rRNA from 1 species
UGGGGAAUAUUGCGCAAUGGGCGAAAGCCUGACGCAGCAACGCCGCGUGGGUGAUGAAGGUCUUCGGAUUGUAAAACCCUGUCGUCAGGAACGAAGAUUGCUAAUCUAAUAAAUUUGCAAUUUGACGGUACCUGGAAAGGAAGCCCCGGCUAACUCUGUGCCAGCAGCCGCGGUAAUACAGAGGGGGCAAGCGUUAUUCGGAAUUAUUGGGCGUAAAGGGCGCGUAGGUGGUAUGUUAAGUGAGAUGUGUAAUCCCUGAGCUUAACUUAGGAAUUGCAUCUCAGACUGGUAUGCUAGAGUGCUGGAGAGGGUGGUAGAAUUCCACGUGUAGCGGUGAAAUGCGUAGAGAUGUGGAGGAAUACCGGUGGCGAAGGCGGCCACCUGGACAGUAACUGACGCU